rnacentral:rRNA from 1 species
CCUACGGGUGGCAGCAGUGGGGGAUAUUGCACAAUGGGGGAAACCCUGAUGCAGCGACGCCGCGUGGGUGAAGAAGCGCCUCGGCGCGUAAAGCCCUGUCAGCAGGGAAGAAAAUGACGGUACCUGAAGAAGAAGCCCCGGCUAACUACGUGCCAGCAGCCGCGGUAAUACGUAGGGGGCAAGCGUUAUCCGGAUUUACUGGGUGUAAAGGGGGCGCAGACGGCGAUGCAAGCCAGGAGUGAAAGCCCGGGGCCCAACCCCGGGACUGCUCUUGGAACUGCGUGGCGAGAGUGCAGGAGGGGCAGGGGGAAUUCCGGGUGUAGCGGUGAAAUGCGUAGAAAUCAGGAGGAACACCGGUGGCGAAGGCGGCCUGCUGGACUGCAACUGACGUUGCGGCCCGAAAGCGUGGGGAGCAAACCGGAUUAGAUACCCUUGUAGUC